UCCGUGCAUUGGAUAGUUUUUCUUUUUUUUUUGGCAAAAUAUAUUGAAGCUAAUGGGCUUUUUAUUUUUUUUAUAUUUAAUUUAUUUAUUCAAUUUUUUUGUAAAGACAGAAAAUAUAAGACAGAAGGAAUAAAUACAAAAUAAAAUAAGUAUCUUCUUCUUGCAUAUUCAUCACAACUUCAUUAAAUUCAUUUUACUUUAUACAUAAAUAAAUAAAUGCAUAAAGAAGGAAGAAGAGAAAGGAAAAAAAAAAAAAAAAAAAAAGAUAGAUACACAAGUUUUUAUUAUUAUUCCCCCCCUUCUUAAUUGUCCAUCAUUUUCUAGAAAAUCACACCAAGGUUCCCAUAGUUUAUGGUGUUUAUUCAUUUUCCCUCUUUUUUUUGCUAUUAUUUCUUCUAUGCCUCGUAUUUCUUCAGUUUCCUUAAUCCAUGAUAUUUUAUUUAUUGAUGAUUUUGUUUUCCAUUUAUGAGGUAUCAUGUUCCUUGCCACAGCUAUUAUUAAUUUGGUUACUGGAUCGGUGAUAGUUUUUUUCUUUUUAUAAUCAUAAAGCAGUAUAAUUUGUAUUAUGUCUGUAUCUGAUAUAUGGGUUCCCAUUUUAUCUAUUACAGAUCGGACAUAGUCCCAAAAUGGUCUAAUCACCUCACAUUCCAACCAUAGAUGAAUAUAUGUUCCCUUCUCUUUUUCACAUCUCCAGCAUAUCUCGGGAAUUCCAUACAUGUUAUGCAGUUUAGUCGGUGUAUAAUACCAUCUAGAUAUCAACUUAUAACUAAAUUCUUGCAGUUUUGUAUCCUUGGAUAUCUCUAUAUUAGCUUUACAAAUAUAAUUCCACUCCUGAUCUGAUAGGGAUAUUUUUAGUUCCUCCUCCCAUUUUUUAAAGAAACGUGGUUUGCUUAAUGAUCCUUUAAUUAACUCCCUGUAGGUUCUCGAUAGGCUAUGUUGUGUUUUCUCUCCUCUAUCUAUAAAUUUCUCAAACCAAGUUAAGGGUCGCCUAAUAUCUUCCAUUCCCAGGGAACAGAUAAAAUGUCUUAUCUGGUUUAAUACCCAGUCUGUUCUUGGGUGGUAUCCAUAUUUUGCUAUUAGAUUUCCUAUUGUGAUUAUCCCAUCUUUCUCAAGAAAAUCUUUUAUUCUCAAUAUUUUACCUUCCUUUUCUUCCCAUUUUUUCAAUAAUCUAUCUUCUUGACCCGGAACAAAGAUGGGAUUAUCACAUAUUGGACUCAUAAUAGAUGGCAUUGAACCAUGGUGAUGAAUUAUCCUCUAAGGCCCAGUUUAACACCCUUGACACAUGUACUGCUUCAUAGUACAAAUCCGCAUUGGUCUUUUUGUAUUAACAUUGAAUGGUUAAUGUGUGUCUUCCCUGUGGAGCUAUCCAGGAUUGGAUUUAAGGGUACGUUGAAGUCACCUCCCACUAUGACCAUUCCUUCAUGAUAAUCUUCAAGUUUCCUUAUAAUUUCUCUUAAUAUCUUAUGUUGUUUCGUAUUCGGCAGGUAUAUGUUACACAAUGUUACUGUAAUACCGUACAAUUCUCCCUUUACAAUUAAACAUCUACCAUCUUCUCUUUUGUAUUCUCCUUUCACUGUAAACGGUGUGUUUUUAUGAAGCAUAAUUAAUACCCCUUUUGUCUUAUUUUCAGUAUUGUUAGCCAUAAAAAUCUUAUCAUAAGAUCUGUGGUUUAGUAUUGGUGUUUUCCCUUCUUUAAAAUGAGUUUCUUGGCAAAAAACAAUAUUAGCCCCUAGGUCGUUACAAUGUUUCAUUAUCUGUGAUCUCUUUACCGGUUCAUUAAACCC